GCGAGAACAUCGAACCGACGCGCGGGCGCGCGCACUUGCUGCUCGAGAAGGGCGACGACCACCAGGUGAAGCGGGUGCGGCUACGAAAGCUGUGACGGUUCCUCGGCGCGCACACCGCGCAACCCGAACCACGCCAGCUCCGAGAUCCACCGCGCCAGAUCCUCGGCGUCGGUAUCCGGCGAGUCGAAUGCGUGCCGGCCGACCGACUCGGCCAUCCCGACCAGGGCGUUCGCCAGCACCCGGCGAUGCUCGUCGGAAGCGGGGAUCUCGAUGAGUUCGGAGACCACGUCGGCUGCGGCCUUCACCACGCCCUCGACGACCCGGGCGAACUCGGGAUCGGUGCGGAUAGACGCGCUGAACAGCAGCCGGAACCCGGCCCGGCUGUCGGAGACGUAGCGGAAGUAGGCGAGGAAGCCGGCCUCGACGCGUUCUCGGCCCGUCUCGACGCGGUUCGUCACGGCCGCGAGCGCGUCGAGGAGCUGGCGGCCGGUGUCUUCGAGCAGUUCGACGUACAACGCGCGCUUGCUCGGGAAGUGCUGGUAGAGCACGGGCUUGGUGACGCCGGCGGCGUCGGCGAUGUCGUCCAUCGACGUCGCGUGGAAACCCGACGCCGCGAACACCUCACGGGCGACGUCGAGCAGUUGCUGGCGGCGUUGAUCGGCGGGGAGUCGCAUGCAGCGCGAGGCUAUGCGCCCGCGACGCUGGACUUCAGCGGCAUCACGUAGCGGUCGGUGUGGUCGAAGUUGCGGGCCCACAGGUCGUCGACUUGCCGGUAUUCGGCGUCGGUCAGCGGGAGAUCGGCGGCCGCCGCGUACUCCCGGAUGUCGGCGACGGUGAGCACUGACGGCAGCACCGUCGUGAACGCCGGGUUGGCGAGGAUCGCCGCGAUCGCGGCCUGGCCGAUCGUGCGUCCGGUCUCCGGCGCCCACAGGAACGCCAGCGUCGCCGCCUUCU
rnacentral:misc_RNA from 1 species